AUGGACCUGAGAGCUGAGAGCAUGCAGGGUGAUAUGUAUGAAGGAAAAAAGCCAGAGCAGCGCUUGGAUAAAAGUCAGUGUUGGAAUUUUUUUGGCAGAUGCGGAAAUCUUGGUAAAGGUAAGUUCGGUCUUUCACUCGCUCACCAUGUUUUUUUUGGUCUGCAUUAUUUUUCUAAACUACAUUUCAGGAGUGGCUAUAGUCAAUGCUUUCAUGUACAUGAUCGGUAUGAACUUUUCAUCAUAGGUUCAUCUCCUGAGAGAGCUAAGUUUCCUGUAGUAGUCUAUAAGGAAAGCUUGGACAUAUCUCUUUUCACACGCGAUCUUAUUUACUUGAAAAAUAAGUUAUAUACUCUGGGUAAUAAUUUGAUGAGUAGGCCAUUUCAAUAA
rnacentral:rRNA from 1 species